UACGUAGGGUGCGAGCGUUAAUCGGAAUUACUGGGCGUAAAGCGUGCGCAGGCGGUUUUGUAAGCCAGAUGUGAAAUCCCCGGCUUAACCUGGGAAUGGCAUUUGGGACUGCAAAGCUUGAGUGCGGCAGAGGGGACUGGAAUUCCUGGUGUAGCAGUGAAAUGCGUAGAGAUCAGGAGGAAUACCGAUGGCGAACGGCAGGUCCC
rnacentral:rRNA from 1 species